rnacentral:misc_RNA from 1 species
AAUGUCGUAUCAGUUUUCCCGUAGGUGAACCUGCGGAAGGAUCAUUAUCGAAAAUAAAGGGUUGUCUGCUGGCCUCUCGGGGCGCGUGCACGCCCAAAUCCACAACACACCCUGUGAACCCCACCGUAGGCCCCUCGGGCUUAUGUAUCAUCAUAUACUCUGAUCAUAGGAUGUAAAUAUUUUGCCUUAAAAAACGCAAUGAAAUACAAC